AGACACCAUAUCUGUGAGCUGGUGACUGGCCAUGAGGUUCAUUCUGGAACCUUUGUAACUUCAGAGAAGAAGUUCUGACUUAUCAGACAUGUACGUUUCUGUUAGCUAAAGUCACUGUGGGAUGAUUAACCUGCACUCGUGGCCCAGUUCCCACAGGCAGAGCACAGCAUACAGCCCUGAGUCAGUAGUUUUAUAUUACCUCUGGCCACAUGUUCUCAUCCCUGCAGGCAGUAUUUACACUGCUCAAAUGCCUAUAUAGCUUACUGACAAACUGAAGACCUGAAGAGAGCACUGACUGGACUUAUGACUGUUCCCAGUGCGUGCUGAGGAAGAAGAAUCAUAGAACCAUAUUAUAGUUCGAGUUGGAAGGGAAGUUGAAGAUCGUUCUCCAACCUACCUGAGCCCACAACUGGACACACCAUUCCACAUAUGCUCUCACAAGUGCCAAACAGAAGAGGGGAGGAAUCACUUCCCUGGACCUGAUGCUAUGCUUACUUACACAAACCAUAGGUUUUAAAAUGGAUUUGUUUAGACCUUGGCUCUCUUUUAAAAGUACCUGAAUAUGUUGUGGUUUUGUUGUUUGUUGUUGUUUUGUUUGUUUGUUUGUUUUUGUUUUGUUUUGUUUUGUUUCUUUGGCAAGAAAGGCAAACACAGAAAUAUUUAGGUCAAUUUUUUUUUUUUUCCAUAUUUUUCUUGUUCUGACUAAACAGAAGUAUCAGUUAUUCACACAGCUUUAUAAAAAAAAUCCACAUAUCUAUCUGGUGGACAGCACAUUGUAUAUACUAUAAUUUAACUUGUAUCUUAUUUAGCCACAUGGUUGUGGUUUUUUUGUCAUGUCAGCUUUGAAUGGGAAAUUGAUCUCCCUGUUAUUAUUCUUUUCCUGUAAGUGAAAAAGAAACAGUGCAACUAAAAUUGCACAAUAAGGUAAAACAAUCCUUGUAUUUUGAUAAUGUUAGUAUGCAUUUCUAGAGUUUUUUUUUUUCACUACCAUUAAGACAGUGGUAGCAAAAAUCUACAAACACUUCAGAUUUAUUUUUGUAAUUACACAUUCUUUUGCCUUUUGGAUUUCAAGGUAAACAGAAUAUUUUAUAAGAGCAAGAGUGAAUAUACAAGGAUAGAUCUUAAAUCACUGGCUCAGCAUACUCUGGCAGCUGAAAGAAGUCAACAGAGUGCUAGGCAUUAUCAGCAGAUGAUGGCUGAGAACACAAUGGAAGACAUAAUUUUGGCACUAUACUCCACAUUUCAGAAAGAAUGCAAUGUCACUGAGGAAAGUAAGAAGAAGGGCAGUCAAAAUGAUUAAAUAAAUGGCCAGCUAUCAAAUGAGAGAUUUGGAGAACAGUAGAUCAAGAAUGAGAUACAAUUAAAAUUUGCAAUAUCUUCAAGGUGAAUCAUGCAUAACUGUUAUGUACCAAACUGUACAGUAUUAGAACUAAAGGGCAUUCGGUCAGGAUUGUAGGAGUCUGAUCUAAAACAUGGAAAUGAAAACAUCUCUGACAGAGUGAUUAGUGAACAUCUGGAACUUGCUCUAUUGCAGAAGAUCAUUAAAGCAGAUACCAUCAGUCAAAACUUCAUCAGACUCAUGUUCUCCCUAGAUGUUAUCUCCUAUUACCAUUUCCAAAAGACAUAAUACUGAGCUGGAUUGUUCCUUUAUGCAUUUAUAUAUUAAAUGGAGAAAAUGAAGCAAUUCACCAAAACCAAAUGAAAGCAUGCUUAAUAAUACAUUCAGAGUUUUUGCUCUGGGAGUUAGGUAAUCCAGAAGACAGUUAAAAACUAGACUAAUUCCUUCUCAUAGAAACAAAGGCAAAAGGAAUUGAUUCAUCCCUUCUGUUUAUACCUUUACAAACCUGUUUUUUCCCUGUGAUAAGGUGACCCACAGAGAGGAUAAUGGAAAGGCCGUCCAUGUCAUUAACUUUUACUUUCGUUCUAUUGAAUAGUGAGAGCAGCUUUUCUAUACUGUGAGAACAGCCUUCUGCAUCGUGUGAAUAGAUAUAAACUAAAUGACAGAGGCUUGUGUGAAUGUAAGCUCAAGAACAGAAUGCAGAAGAGGCCGCGAAGCUUGUGGUCAGGAGAAGAUAAGGAAGCAGGAUCGAUGUCCUGCUGUUGAAUAUAGGAUGGCAAAACAAGAGCCUCAGCUCAAUGUAACAACCAGUCUGGGCUACCCCAUUUAAAAGGUUGGAAAUUUACAGCAAGAACGACUUCAUUCUUAAUCCAACAACCACCAGGUAUGUUCUUUCUGCCCAUGUCCUUAGAAUGUAAUGAAUAUGUACACACUUUGUCUUUAAAUAUGUAGUCAGUGCUUCUCUCAGUGUGCAUGUUGGUGGGAAACAUCCGCCAUGCACCCAGCACUGUAAUAAAGGGAAUACUUGCUUGACAAAACUCACUGGCGUGUCAAGUUACUCUGUCAGUUUUCUCAGCAUCUCUACUUCCCACAGCUUCCUCUUGGAUAAACUGGCUGUUUAUAGCUUGAACUAAUGUACUAUUUGUUAGGCAAAAAGCCGUCUGAAUGGCCUGGCCUAGGGAGUCAUGAGUAGAUUUAAAUGUGGUUCACCAGGUCUUCAUAUUGGGUCCAGGCUUGUUUAACAUUUUUGUUGGUGAUCUUGGUGAGUGGAUUGAGUACACACUAGGUAAGUUUGCAGAUGAGCAAAAUGAGAAAGAAUUUUUAAUCAAAAUCACAACCCUGGUCAACCUUCUCCUGUUAACUGAUGCAUUUCUAAUGCAUGCUGCCUGCAGAGGAAAAAAAGAAGAAUUAAGAGAAAAAUGUCACUUCUCAAUAUUUACUGGUACAGUAAAUGUUGAAUACCAGGGCUAGGAAAAACAUGAUUUCCAGCAGAUAUAAGAGCAGAGAUAAAUAUAUUGAGAAAUUAAUCUCUAAAGAUUUGUAAAAAAUACUACAGUAAUUCCUCCGUUUCAUUCUCAUUUCUUCCCACAGCUACCAUGUUAACAGGGCUUGGUGCUUAAAGUCAGACUGAGUACUUUUACCAGGGAUCCUGUGGGAGUAAUCUUUGUAAUUUUUUACCUGUCCUAUGUAUUUGCAAUUGAAUGCUGGUCCUCAUGUACUUGUAUUACUGUGUCUGUAGGUCUUGUGGGAAAGAGGAAUAGAAGCUGUUAUGCUUUUGUGGAAGUGGGUACAAGAGGGCAUCUAUACAGCAGAAGCAGGCAUGAAAGCAUCAGAAUGACAAAGAAUGUCAGAAGAACUGAUAUCCGUAGUAACUGCUGAAAAUGCUGUUAAGCAUUCAAAUAGAGCACAAUAGCUGUAAGAUAUAUUAUGGUACUGAAUAGUAUAUAUACUGUAUGUUUGAAUGGUUAAAAUUACCCAGAGAUGUUAAGUCUGAACCCCCUUAAAUUUUUUUUUGCCUUUGCCAAAUGUAUUGUCUGGUUAAUAUUUGUGUAUCAGUUUCUGGUUAGAACUGAAAAUCAACUAAUACUGCGAAAAUAGUCAUCAAUAAAUUUGAACAUGAUUGAGAAAAUCCAAA